CUGCACAAUGUUUUGAGAGAAGAUACUGGAUUGAACCCCAUUUAUCUGGAUUGAACCCAACUUAGCUACACAUCAACACUUAAGGAAUCCCACCGGCCUACUUCAAAAGCAGGGAGAUACACCCGCAGCUUCUGAAUGGAUUCCUUCAACAAUGCAG
rnacentral:lncRNA from 1 species